GUGUCCUGAGACUGGAGGUCUGCACCGGAAGUGUCCUGAGAGUGGAGGUCUGCAGGCAGGCUCCCAUGACGAACCUUGCAGCAUUUUUCUAAACAACAUUUUUGUAAACAGAGGAGCUUAAAAAAUGGCAAGAAAAAGCACGCCGUGGUCAGUCGAAGAAGUGACGACGUUCCUCCAUCUGAUUGCGGACCACAAAAUCCAACGGGAGCUCGGCGGAACAACUCGCAAUUUAAAAGUGUUUCAGGAGGUCUCUGCACUGAUGUCCAAACUCGGAUUUUCGAGGACUUUACUGCAGUGUAGGGAAAAACAAAAAAAAUUGAAGAGUGAAUAUCGCCUAGUCAAGGAUAACAACGGCACGACUGGUGCGGGUAGGAAAAACUGGAAGUGGUUCGACCUGUUGGACGCUAUUUACGGCCAUAGACCGGGCGGCUAACGUUGGGAGGGAGGGAGGUCUAGACCAGUCCUUCUCAAAGUGUGGUCCGCGGACCACUGGUGGUCCGUGAGUGCCGCCUAGUGGUCCGUGAGUAUAUUGGUAAAAUGUCACAUUUGAAAUAAAUAAAUAAAUUUAAGUUUUACGCACUCUCGCAGGAAUAUCUCUGCAAUGGAGCAAGCUUAAGUUUCACUUUCGAUUGCAUGAUAUAGCCCAGCGCAACACCUUCAUCACACAUGUGGCUACUUGUUUGUACAAUUUUCAGGCGAUUUGUAAAAAACGAUGUGUUUUGGGAUAUUUGUGGAGUUAGGUGGUCCGCGAGUGUUUUUUUAUUGGUUAUGUGGUCCUUGGUAUGAAACAGUUUGAGAAACACUGGUCUAGACUCUGCAACUGCGUUACUUGAGUCCCUGCAUGGUAAGUUUUUGCUAACGCUCUGUUAUUUGCUUGAAAGCGUUGUGUCCCUAUCUAUUCUAAAGCUCACUUCUAACAAAUAAGUCUAUUUUAUCCUUACAUUUAUGUUCAACAACCCAUGCUUUUAUGGAGCCCCAAAGAGCUACAUAGCUAGCUAAGGCAGAUAGCAUUAGCUAGAGCUAUUGUUUGCUAACACCAUGUGCCAUUGUUUACGUUCAGUUUUCCUUUUCUAGAGUUGUUGUUGCUAUUUAGUAUUGUGCUGCAGUAGUUUGUGGAAUUAACAAGUCAUGUUGCUGUUCUAGAUGAUUACAUUGGGACUAACGAGGAGGAACAUUCCCGAACAACGGGGGAUAGCAGUGUUCCGUCCUCAAUAUCAACUGAGGAACAGACCCCAACUCGACCAACUCGACCAACUCAACCACCAACAGAAGAACCAACACCAACUCGACCACAGACCCCAACGUUGAGUGCCAGCGCGACACCGCAGCGUGUGGUUCUAGGCAAGAGGAAACGAGGAGGACAGGAUCUGGCCCAGCAGGAACGGCACCAUGAACAGCACCUAGCCCAGCAGGAUCAGCACCUGGCCCGGCACCUGGCCCGGCACCUGGCCCAGAUGGAACGGCACUUUGACAUGAGCUUAGCGGCUGCUGCCCGGACGAGGGAGAUGGAUGCGACCUUGAGAAGGGAGGAGGCCGCUCAAGCACAGACAUUUCAUUUAGCCUUCCUGCGCAGUCUUGACAGGUGCUAGGGGGAAUGGUCAGCCGGCGGCGCCCGUCUCCUCAGUAAGACGAGCCUCUGUGAUAAAACAAACAAAUAACCUCUGGCUGAGAAUAUAUUGUUAUUAUAUUGUUUAUAUGUUGUUAUUGUUCAUUUGUAAAUGCAACAUUUGUACUUUCUUGUUUAUUUCUUAUCUUUAAAAUGUUUAUUUUAUUUUUACAAUGCAUGACUUUUUAUGCUUCUUUAAUACAAACAUUUUUUAUUUGUGUUGUACAAUGCCUUGCCUUUUUUAUGCUGCUGCAACAAAACACUUCCCAAAUUGGGAUCAAUAAAGUACUUCUUUGACUUA